AGUGAACGCUGGCGGUAUGCCUAACACAUGCAAGUCGAACGGCAGCACAGUAAGAGCUUGCUCUUACGGGUGGCGAGUGGCGGACGGGUGAGGAAUACAUCGGAAUCUACUUUUUCUUGGGGGAUAACGUAGGGAAACUUACGCUAAUACCGCAUACGACCUACGGGGGAAAGCAGGGGAUCUUCGGACCUUGCGCGAGUGAAUGAGCCGAUGUCGGAUUAGCUAGUUGGCGGGGUAAAGGCCCACCAAGGCGACGAUCCGUAGCUGGUCUGAGAGGAUGAUCAGCCACACUGGAACUGAGACACGGUCCAGACUCCUACGGGAGGCAGCAGUGGGGAAUAUUGGACAAUGGGCGCAAGCCUGAUCCAGCCAUACCGCGUGGGUGAAGAAGGCCUUCGGGUUGUAAAGCCCUUUUGUUGGGAAAGAAAAGCAGCAGGUUAAUACCCCGCUGUUCUGACGGUACCCAAAGAAUAAGCACCGGCUAACUUCGUG
rnacentral:rRNA from 1 species